UUUGUUUUGUCUUGUUCCAUACACACCUGGUUUUCAUUCCAUAAUCACACUGCAUGUAUUUAGUCCUCUGUUCCCCUCCAUGUCUUUGUGUGUAAUUGUUUCUUGUUAUGUGGGUAUUGUCAGGCGCUAUACUUUUGUUAAGUUCUGUGUUUUUUGGCACGUUUAUGUUGUUAUGUGCUGUCAUUUUUUGACCGGAAUUAAAGUGCGCCUAUUUACGACAUUCUGAUCUCCUGCCCAGCACCUGCCUCCGGACACACCCUUGACAUCUCUCUAGGUCAAGAGGAAGAAGAUCAUUUCUUCAACUGCAAGCAAGUUUUUAUAGAGCUCGCUAACACCGCAAGCAAGCUAGCUCCUUCUUUAGCUUGCCACCAAGGUGAAGUGUGACUAAGGGUAACUGUCAACUUGUCAGUCUGAAAAUGGACACUGGAGGAGAAGGAAUCUGCAUGAUGCGACCUUCCAGGGACUUCCAUGCCACAAUUCAACAAUGGACUAAGUUAUAUGAGCAAAAAAAAUAACAAUUAUUGAAAGCACU